CGCGUAGGCGGGAAUGCAAGUCAGAUGUGAAAGCCCGGGGCUCAACCCCGGAACUGCAUUUGAAACUGCAUUUCUUGAGGAUAGGCGGAGAAAACGGAAUUCCACGUGUAGCGGUGAAAUGCGUAGAUAUGUGGAAGAACACCAGUGGCGAAGGCGGUUUUCUAGCUUAUUCCUGACGCUGAGGCGCGAAAGCAAGGGGAGCGAACAGGAUUAGAUACCCUGGUAGUCC
rnacentral:rRNA from 1 species